AUGGGAGAAAUAGUGAGUGUCAAUCAGUCGGCGUUCAUCAAGGGUAGAAGCAUCCACGACAAUUUCUUACUCGUUGGACAAAUGGCCCGCAAACUUCAUCAGAGGAAAACCAAAGGUGUGCUGCUAAAACUAGACAUAUCGAGAGCGUUUGACACCCUAUCCUGGCCGUUUCUUUUUGAGGUGCUUCGAGCUAAGGGGUUCUCUGCCCGCUGGAUCUCUUGGAUUGCAACUCUGCUCACUUCGGCAAGCUCCAGAAUCAUGGUCAAUGGAUGUGCGGGAGAGAAAUUUAUGCAUGCGCAAGGGCUGCGCCAAGGAGAAUCCCUCUCCCCUCUCCUCUUUGUCAUUGCUAUGGAUGUGCUUACUGCGAUGAUGAUCAAGGCUCAAGAGCGGCAGGUGCUUAGCAAGAUUCCUGGCUGCACACCUCUGCAGCGGCUGUCUCUCUACGCGGAUGAUGUUGUCCUGUUCAUUAGACCGACAAGAUCGGAUCUGUUUUUUGUUAAGGAAGCUCUUGGAAUCUUCGGACAGGCUUCAGGACUAGUCGUUAAUUUUGCCAAGUCCUCGACUGUCAUGAUCAGAGCCUCCGAGGAAGAGGAGGAACUGGUGAAGGAGGCGCGUCACUGGACUAUGGAGAAAUUUCCGAUCAAGUACCUAGGGUUGCAGCUGAGUAUCAAGCAUCUGAAGAGAUCCGACUGGCAACCGAUCAUUGACAUAGUGCUUAAACUGAUGCCGGGAUGGCAAAGAGGGCUUAUCACCAGGCCUGGGCGACUUGCGCUGGUUAAUCACGUGGUUCGAGCGCGGCCUACUCACCACCUGAUCGUCGCGGAGGCUCCUAAGUGGGCGUUAGAAAAAAUUGACAAAGGCUGCAGAAAGUUCUUUUGGGCUGGGACAGAGGAGGUCCAUGGUGGCAAGUGCCUGGUCGCAUGGGAGCGUGUGUGCAGACCAAAGUACCUAGGAGGUCUCGGCGUGCUGAAUCUUUGCAAGCAAGGGAUCGCGCUCCGGUUGCGUUGGGAAUGGCUCAAGCGCACGGACGAUCUCCGGCCAUGGCAAGGACUGAACCUCAUGGCCGACAAACAGGUGACCAUGGCGUUUAACAGCUUGGUCAAAUGGGAGGUUGGCAAUGGGAGACGUGUACUGUUUUGGAAGGACAGAUGGAUUAAUGGAAGCUCCAUCGCUGAGGUGGGCCCGAUGAUUAGAGCCAUUAUCAAGACACAAAUCGCCAACAGGAGAACAGUUAAGGAUGCUCUACAUCUUCAUGCAUGGACAGCUGACAUUGUUGGGGAUAUGAGCACGGAUGCCCUGGUGCAAUUCAUCCGGCUUUGGGAUCUGGUCAUUGGUAUGAUCCUGGACCCUGACUCUGAAGACAAACCUAUUUGGCAAUGGAGCUCCAAUGGUAUCUACUCAGCCCGCACCGCCUAUAAGAUGCUAUGCGAAGGAGGCAUCAGAUUUCAAUGCUCAUCGGCAAUAUGGAAAUGUUGGGCGCCGCUGACCUGCAAGAUAUUCAUCUGGCUGGCGCUGCAAUACCGUGUAUGGACAUCCAAUAGGAGGCAAAGGCAUGGCCUUCAAGAACAUAGCUCGCCAUGUUUCCUUUGUGAGCAAGAAGAGGACACGGUGGAUCACAUCUUGCUGCAAUGCGUCUAUGCUCGCCAAGUUUAG
rnacentral:rRNA from 1 species